rnacentral:rRNA from 1 species
CCUACGGGUGGCAGCAGUGAGGAAUAUUGGUCAAUGGACGCAAGUCUGAACCAGCCAUGCCGCGUGCAGGAAGACGGCGCUAUGCGUUGUAAACUGCUUUUGUACGAGGGCAAACUCAGAUACGCGUAUCUGACUGAGAGUAUCUGACGAAUAAGGAUCGGCUAACUCCGUGCCAGCAGCCGCGGUAAUACGGAGGAUUCAAGCGUUAUCCGGAUUUAUUGGGUUUAAAGGGUGCGUAGGCGGUCGGAUAAGUUAGGGGUGAAAACCCGGGGCUCAACUUCGGAAUUGCCUUUGAAACUGUCCGGCUAGAGAGUAGUUGCGGUAGGCGGAAUGUAUGGUGUAGCGGUGAAAUGCUUAGAGAUCAUACAGAACACCGAUUGCGAAGGCAGCAUACCAGGCUACUUCUGACGUUGAGGCACGAAAGCGUGGGGAGCAAACAGGAUUAGAUACCCGGGUAGUC